UACGUAGGGUGCGAGCGUUGUCCGGAAUUAUUGGGCGUAAAGGGCUCGUAGGCGGUUUGUUGCGUCGGGAGUGAAAACCUCGGGCUUAACUCGGGGCUUGCUUUCGAUACGGGCAGACUUGAGGCAUUCAGGGGAGAACGGAAUUUCUGGUGUAGCGGUGAAAUGCGCAGAUAUCAGAAGGAACACCGGUGGCGAAGGCGGUUCUCUGGGAAUGUUCUGACGCUGAGGAGCGAAAGUGUGGGGAGCAAACAGG
rnacentral:rRNA from 1 species